UGGGGAAUAUUGGACAAUGGGCGAAAGCCUGAUCCAGCCAUGCCGCGUGUGUGAAGAAGGUCUUCGGAUUGUAAAGCACUUUAAGUUGGGAGGAAGGGCAGUAAAUUAAUACUUUUGCUGUUUUUGGACGUUACCGACAGAAUAAGCACCGGCUAACUCUGUGCCAGCAGCCGCGGUAAUACAGAGGGUGCAAGCGUUAAUCGGAAUUACUGGGCGUAAAGCGCGCGUAGGUGGUUCGUUAAGUUGGAUGUGAAAUCCCCGGGCUCAACCUGGGAACUGCAUU
rnacentral:rRNA from 1 species